GGAUGAACGCUAGCGGCAGGCCUAACACACUGCAAGUCGAGGGGUAACAGGAGGAAGCUUGCUUUCUCGCUGACGACCGGCGAACGGGUGCGUAACGCGUAUGCAACUUACCCUUAACAAAAGGAUAGCCCCGAGAAAUCGGGAUUGAUACUUUAUAAUAUCAAACUUUCGCAUGUUAGUUUGAUUAAAGCUCCGGCGGUUAAGGAUGGGCAUGCGUCCCAUUAGCUAGUUGGUGAGGUAACGGCUCACCAAGGCAACGAUGGGUAGGGGUUCUGAGAGGAUGAUCCCCCACACUGGUACUGAGACACGGACCAGACUCCUACGGGAGGCAGCAGUGAGGAAUAUUGGUCAAUGGACGAAAGUCUGAACCAGCCAUGCCGCGUGCAGGAUGACUGCCCUAUGGGUUGUAAACUGCUUUUAUAUACCAAGAAACCCCUGGACGUGUCCGGGGCUGACGGUAGUAUAUGAAUAAGGACCGGCUAACUCCGUGCCAGCAGCCGCGGUAAUACGGAGGGUGCAAGCGUUAUCCGGAUUUAUUGGGUUUAAAGGGUCCGUAGGCGGGAUUUUAAGUCAGUGGUGAAAGCCUGCAGCUCAACUGUAGAACUGCCAUUGAAACUGAUUUUCUUGAAUAUAGAUGAAGUGGGGCGGAAUGUAUCAUGUAGCGGUGAAAUGCAUAGAUAUGAUACAGAACACCGAUUGCGAAGGCAGCUCACUAAACUAUUAUUGACGCUGAGGGACGAAAGUGUGGGGAGCGAACAGGAUUAGAUACCCUGGUAGUCCACACCGUAAACGAUGAUUACUCGGUGCUAGCGAUAUACUGGCGCCCAAGCGAAAGUGAUAAGUAAUCCACCUGGGGAGUACGAUCGCAAGGUUGAAACUCAAAGGAAUUGACGGGGGCCCGCACAAGCGGUGGAGCAUGUGGUUUAAUUCGAUCAUACGCGAGGAACCUUACCUGGGCUUAAAUGUAUUUUGACAGAUUUGGAAACAGAUCUUUCUUCGGACGGAAUGCAAGGUGCUGCAUGGUUGUCGUCAGCUCGUGCUGUGAGGUGUCGGGUUAAGUCCCAUAACGAGCGCAACCCCUAUCUCUAGUUGCCAGCAUUUCGGAUGGGAACUCUAGAGAGACUGCCUACGCAAGCCGAGAGGAAGGUGGGGAUGACGUCAAAUCAUCACGGCCCUUACGUCCUGGGCUACACACGUGCUACAAUGGUAGGGACAGAGCGUCGCAAACUGGUGACAGUGAGCUAAUCUUCAAACCCUAUCUCAGUUCGGAUUGGAGUCUGCAACUCGACUCCAUGAAGGUGGAAUCGCUAGUAAUCGUAGAUCAGCAAUGCUACGGUGAAUACGUUCCCGGGCCUUGUACACGCCGCCCGUCAAGCCAUGGAAGCUGGGAGUGCCUGAAGUCCGUCACCGUAAGGAGCGGCCUAGGGUAAAACUAGUAACUGGGGC
rnacentral:rRNA from 1 species